AGGAUGUGGGUUUCUCUUCCUCUCCAAAUCCGGCUCCUCUCCUUGACCUCAGGUCCAAGACGGAAGCGGCUGCAUUCUGGGCAGCAGGAUGUGGAAAAGAAGGGGGUCAAGGACUCACACGUACUGUCCUUUGAGAAGUUUCCUCUGGGACCCUUGCCCUUAUAUCUCCGUAGCCAGAAUUCGGUCACAGGCCACAGAUCCUGCCAGUGCACCCCAAGGCUCCUUGCAGCAAUGAAACCAUGCCCUUGGCAAUCUGCGGACUGCAGCGGCUCUCCUGGCAGAGUUACGGAUUCUUCAGAGCGCUUUCUCAUCACGUCUGGAGGACAGGACGGGAGCGGAUAACUCUCCAGGAUGACACAUCCAAGAGGAGAUGUAUGACCCGGAAGUCUUCACUGGGAGCUGGAGGGGUCUUUUACAGAGACUGGGAGGUUGGAGAGGGCCAAGGGUUUAGAGUCCGAAGAUCAGAGUUCAGGUCCCUGUGCCCAGCAUUACCUGUGUGACUUUGAACAAGUCACUUCAUCUCUUUGUGUUUCUGUUUCCUCAUCUAUAAAAUGGAGACGUGCGCCUGCUUCACCUGUCCCACGGGGUUGCUGAAGAUCAAAGUGUGGUAACUUCAAGCUCUUAGUCAAGUCUGUGGGGAUGGCCUUUGUGAGGAAAGUGAGAGCUGCUCAUUGUGCCCAGCUGACUGUGGGAUGAGGAAAAUGAGGCACAAAAAGGUCAAGUGCUUUGCCCAAGUUCACAAGAAGAGUAAAUGAGGGAGCUGGGAUUUGAGCCCAGUCUGUUUAGCUCCAAAGUCCAUUUCUUUGCUCAUCCUCUUGCCCAGUGUUGCCUCUCGGUAAGAUGGUGGCAGAGCUUGGAUUGAACCCAAUCUCUGGGCUCUGUGUCUAGUGCUCUUCCCACACACUUUAGAGAAGACAGCCUUGGGCCCUAACUUCCCUUGGGCUGGAGAGGCGUGUAAGACUAGUCCUGGAGUUUGGAAAGGUCCACACUGAGCUCAACUGUUACUGUCUGGCCCUGCUUUUUGGGAAUUGUUUCUCUGGCCAAAGGAGUAUGGGUCUACAGACAUUUCUGAUUUUCAAAUGGAUUCUUCAGUUGCCUGAAGCAAAUGGUUUCUAUCCGUGGUUCUCAGCCAUGCUAUUAAGAUGCAUUGGUGCAGGGCAAGGAGUUGUGAGGUGCCAGCAAUUAAUAAUAGUUAAUGUAAUCUGAGACUGGAGCACCUGGGGAUUUCAGAAUUGGCAGCUGGGACUUCUCUCCCAGAGCCUCAGCGAAGGGAUCGGGGCAUGCAGCACCUUCUGUUUGUUGUUAAAUGGCCUCAAUCCUAUCUCUGCCUCAAGUGUAAACUUUAAUGAGCAUGUCCUGCCACACCGUGUGUAGAACUCUGCACUUUGUUCUUAUUUUACAAAAGGCAGAGUACGUGAUGUGAAAGAACCUAGUGUCUAACAGAGGAGAGGAGAGCAAGCUAGAAAACACACUGCACCUUGUGGUCCAUGCAGCGUGGCGUCCCGUUCAAUGACUGCCUGACCAGCAAAUAAUAAUUAUAAACAAAUUAAAGCAUUCUUGCUGUUUCUCCUGAAAACGCCAUAGCAGAACUUCUGAAAAAUCCUAUUUUUUCCAUCUUAAAGUAUGUCCUUAACACUGCAGCUUUCCAAAGUCUCUCUUCUCCCCCAGCACAAGCUGCUCCCCAAAUCUCUACCCAACUGGACCCCCAUAAACCUGCCUGUCUCUUCAUUUCUCCUUCCUUGCUCAGCCCUUCAUUACGUAGGUCAAUGCAGCCUUUUUAGUGACUUUAAUUUCCCUUCUUCCCCCGUCAUCUUGGUUCUGCACAGUAAAGAAAGGUCUAGGAGCUGAUGGAGAAGUUAAGAUAACUCCCUCCUUAGAUGGAGGUGGGGUGGUUUGAGGCAGAGACUGGGGCUGCUCGUGCAUUUCUUUUUGGUCAAAUCAGCUUUAAGUGCAUCCGCAUGGUAUUAAAUUUAAAGUCUCCAAUUCUUACCAGCUCCUGCUCUAAAGUGUGGGCUCCUGCUCCUCGUGUCACUGGUGUGUAUCUAGAAAACUGUGAAAGUGCAUCUAAACAUUAUUCUAGAAACUGUUAUUAGACAGGCCCAUUUACCCCCCGAACCUAGACAGUAUAUUCUGAAACUGAAAGUCCAUGGUUUGGCAUUUUCUAUUGUUUUGGAUUGUUGAUGCCACUGUUCCCCUCCCUGGGGUAGAUAAUAGAGCUUGUUGACCGUGGGGGCAGAGUGUGUGGGGGGGUGUGAGAGAGAAAUAGUUCCCCGGAGCCUUUAAUAAGAGAAUGGAAAGGAGUUCACAAGAUUGCUAGAAAAUGAUUCCAGAGAAGUAGGGGCAGGACAGGGAGGGAGAACAGCAAUAGCUUUUGAAGGGCGAGAAAACAGAAUAUUUUCCUUUAUUUUGAUGCUGAAAUGUGCAAUGUAUCAGAAUUAAAGAUCUGAUAAAUCUGAAAUAAAGUCAUGUGAUGUUUUAAAAAUUGUAUUGAAUUCUCAAAUCUUUGGCUUCUUGUUUAUAUGACUUUUUAAUUGAGAUCCUUAUUAAACCCACUGCAAUCAACUUUGCUAAUGAGUUCCAUCGUCUAAUUGGUAGUCUGUUGCUAAUGAUGAA
ensembl:lncRNA